UCCAGACUCCUACGGGAGGCAGCAGUGAGGAAUAUUGGUCAAUGGGCUUACGCCUGAACCAGCCAAGUCGCGUGAGGGAAGACUGCCCUAUGGGUUGUAAACCUCUUUUGUCGGGGAGCAAAAGACGCCACGCGUGGCGUUCCGAGAGUACCCGAAGAAAAAGCAUCGGCUAACUCCGUGCCAGCAGCCGCGGUAAUACGGAGGAUGCGAGCGUUAUCCGGAUUUAUUGGGUUUAAAGGGUGCGCAGGCGGAGGUGCAAGUCAGCGGUCAAAUUGCGGGGCUCAACCCCGUACUGCCGUUGAAACUGCAUCCCUUGAGUGCGCGAGAAGUAUGCGGAAUGCGUGGUGUAGCGGUGAAAUGCAUAGAUAUCACGCAGAACUCCGAUUGCGAAGGCAGCAUACCGGCGCGCAACUGACGCUCAUGCACGAAAGCGUGGGUAUCGAACAGGAUUAGAUACCCGUGUA
rnacentral:rRNA from 1 species